AUACGUAGGGGGCGAGCGUUGUCCGGAUUUACUGGGCGUAAAGGGUGAGUAGGCGGUUAUAUGUGUUAGAUGUAAAAGGCUAUGGCUUAACCAUAGUUAGCAUUUGAAACUGUAUGACUUGAGUGCAGGAGAGGUAAGUGGAAUUCCUAGUGUAGCGGUGAAACGCGUAGAUAUUAGGAGGAACACCAGUGGCGAAGGCGACUUACUGGACUGUAACUGACGCUGAGUCACGAAAGCGUGGGUAGCAAACAGGAUUAGAUACCCUGGUAGUCCACGCUGUAAACGAUGAGUGCUAGGUGUUGGCCAGCGAUGGUCAGUGCCGCAGUAAACACAUUAAGCACUCCGCCUGGGGAGUACGGUCGCAAGACUGAAACUCAAAUGAAUUGACGGGG
rnacentral:rRNA from 1 species